rnacentral:rRNA from 1 species
GACGAACGCUGGCGGCGUGCUUAACACAUGCAAGUCGAACGGAAAGGCCCUGCUUUUGUGGGGUGCUCGAGUGGCGAACGGGUGAGUAACACGUGAGUAACCUGCCCUUGACUUUGGGAUAACUUCAGGAAACUGGGGCUAAUACCGGAUAGGAGCUCCUGCUGCAUGGUGGGGGUUGGAAAGUUUCGGCGGUUGGGGAUGGACUCGCGGCUUAUCAGCUUGUUGGUGGGGUAGUGGCUUACCAAGGCUUUGACGGGUAGCCGGCCUGAGAGGGUGACCGGCCACAUUGGGACUGAGAUACGGCCCAGACUACUACGGGAGGCAGCAGUGGGGAAUAUUGCACAAUGGGCGGAAGCCUGAUGCAGCAACGCCGCGUGCGGGAUGACGGCCUUCGGGUUGUAAACCGCUUUCGCCUGUGACGAAGCGUGAGUGACGGUAAUGGGUAAAGAAGCACGGGCUAACUACGUG